UACGUAGGGUGCAAGCGUUGUCCGGAAUUAUUGGGCGUAAAGAGCUCGUAGGCGGUGUGUCACGUCGGCCGUGAAAACCUGCAGCUUAACUGUGGGCGUGCGGUCGAUACGGGCAUCACUGGAGUUCGGCAGGGGAGACUGGAAUUCCUGGUGUAGCGGUGAAAUGCGCAGAUAUCAGGAGGAACACCGGUGGCGAAGGCGGGUCUCUGGGCCGAUACUGACGCUGGAGGUGACGAAAGCCGUGGGGAGCAAACAGG
rnacentral:rRNA from 1 species